rnacentral:lncRNA from 1 species
UUUAUUUUCUAUGUCUUCUGACUAUACUGCCAGCUGCAUGAGAGCAGGAAUUGGUCUUGUUCAGCACUGGGAAAAGUACCUGGCACACAUUGGUGACCAAUAAGUAUUGUUGAAAGGACAGAUGAGGCAAGGAAUGAGAAGUAUCUGGACGGAAGUCAUCUUUAUCCACGCUGCCUGCACCACCCCCAGGCCAACUCUGUGAGAGGCGCUCGAAAGUGCAUUGUAUUGGAGCCAGCUCGGUGGCAUAGUGGCUGAGUUCAUGCCCUCUGCUUCAGUGGCCCAGGGUUCACGGGCCCAGAUCCUGGGCACGGACCUACACACUGUGCAUCAAGCCAUACUGUGGCAGUGUCCCACAUGCAAAAAACAGAGGAAGAUUGCGAUAGAUGUAGCUCAGUGAAAAUCUUCCUUGAGCAAAAAGAGGAGGAUUGGUGACAGGUGUUAGCUCGGUGACAAUCUUCCUCACCCAAAAAAAUAAAAGAUAAAAUACUGUCAACGAAAAUAAUCCAUAACCAAUCUAUAAAUGAAAAUUUGGGUGUAACUGGUGAUAAAUAUCCAAGUGGACUUGAGAGAACUUGGAAUGCAAUGCCGCCUGCUUCCUGCUCCCGUGGGACCCACGUGACUCUCAUCCCAGAGGAGACACCUGUGCCUCCAACCCGGUGGCUUGCCUCCUCGUCCCUCAGGAUGUAACGACAACGACAAGUUUACUGUGUGAGGUCCCAGGCCGAGCGCCAACGCUGAAUGGUUCAUUCAGACCUCACAUUGUCUGGCACAUUUUCAAGCAUUCUUCCCCGUGUUUUGUAGACAAGAAAACCAAGGCUCCCUGAGGGCCAGGUUAAGUAACUUGUCCAGCUGCUCGCCACGGCGCAAAGAUGAAGCUGAGUUUUGAAAUACCACAUCAUGCGGUAUUUAGAGAAGAAGAUUGAAAAGACUUUUCAGAAGAGGUGGGGAGGGACAAUUUUGACAUUAUCUUUUUUCUCCUUAUCAUAUAAGCAAUGCAUGCUCAUUGUUUGUUUAAUUAAGAAAAAGUCAGAGUUUGAAAAGACAUUAGCAGAGGAGUGGUGGUGAGGUUUCCCCUCAUCUGCCUGUUUCUUUCUAAGAACUAAGGGAAAUGACUGAGCCCUCAGAGGGGAGGGAGGGAGGAGAGAAUGUCCUGGCAUUAAAUCUGAGCGGAGAACAUCGUAACCCUGCAGGGGAGGUGUCCAUCCAUGUGCCGUGCUUCCACACAAGCUUGCAAAGCAUCGGAACCCGUGUUCAUGAUUGGUGGCAGUGGGUCUGAAACAAGCCUGAUUCUCUGGAUUUCUGCAUUUCGGGUGGCCAGGCUCUCUGCACAGCUGUGACAGUGACCCUCCCCCUGACUCAGCUCUAGUUGGACUCCUCUAAGCCUCAAGGCCCCACACUCAGGCUCUGUCUUCCCACAUUUAGCCCAGUUUUAGCGGAAAUCCCCCACCCUCGAUGUUGUCACCUCAGCCUCACUUUAGCAAGAAUCCCGUGGAGUUGGUCUAGCAAGAACGCCCCCAGUCUUGUGUUUCCUCCUAGUAACUUCCCAUCCAUCACCACCCAAUACACACCCUACUCCUUGGCUCUGAAUCCCCACUUGUCCUUAUUGUGUUCAGAGCUGAGCCUCUCAGUCUCUCCCCGCUACUGCAAAACCCCAGUGCUGUGGCCCCUACGCUUGUCAGGAUGGCCCCUGAAUAAAAUCUGCCUUACGGUUCUUUAAUGAGGGUCAUGAAUAUUAUUUUCUUCAACAACUGU